AAAUUUCUAAAUGAGAAAGUUAUAGUUCAAUAUUUCAGUUUAGACUGAAUAAUGCUCACUCCUGCAACAACUAAUUAGGUAUGCAAUAACAAUCAUUAAAAAAAAAAUCAUUAUACAGAUGCCCGCAGACAAAGCCUUCCUCUAUAAUCUCAACUGCAAAUGCCAAUUCAGAAAAGGAACUUGGAAUAAGUCCUCCAUUCACAUGCUACAGACAUCUAAAAUAUAAACAAUAUUCACUAGCUCUAUAUUUUGACCAAAUACAACACAAUCUUAACUCAUCCCAAGGUUAAGCGCUUGUAGAAGUUACAAAACGCAGAAUUGCCCUCGUUUAAUGCAGGAAAAGCUUUUUUAUGUUGAACAAUAUUCUUGUAUUAUUUGUUAUUCCUUCAAAGAAGGAAAUUGAAUAUCCACCCCCACCCUCCCAAAAUAAUAAUAAUAAUAAUAAAUUUGUGAAAUUGAGAUAUCUAAAUAAAUAUUUUAAAAGUGAAUAAAAUAAUAAUAAUAAUAAUUAAAUAUUAUAAAAUGUAAAUCCAUUUAGAAUAUUUGAAGGUAUUAAGGUAACGUAUAAUCAAAAUAUUAUUUCUCUUAAGUUGAGGAUGUAAAUUAUAUAAUGUUAUUUCUUUUAAUUUUUAAGAUAAUAUUUUUUGUUAAUGGUACCAUACAUCAAGUCUUUUUAGUCAAGAAAAAUUAUCAUCACUGCUUUCUCUUUCUAAACAAAGAAGGCAUUAAUUCUGGUUAGUUCUUAGGGGAGGUUUAACCGAUUGGCCGUGGACUUUCCUUUUCUUUUCUUUCUAGUUAAGCUUCUUUGAUUGUUUUUAGCUAUUUUUUUCUUAUUUUCUUCGGUCUCCAUUAUUGAAGUUUUAGCACCAUUCUUAGAAUGGGGUUUUUUAUUAGUGUUUAGAGGGACUGCUUUGCAUGUUGCAAUAUUUCCCGUAGUUCAUUGUGAAGCUUUAAGGCGUAGAUUGUCAGCUAGCAGUUGAUGUGAUACCAAGUUGGUCACUUUCGUCAGGGCGAGUAUAGAAGACUUGUGUUUGCUAAGCCUGUUCCCGGUUCAUCCGGCACUAAUUCUAGUUCUUACUAUCUUCUGGUUUUGCUGCAUAGCUCCUCCAUUUCCCUCUGAGCUUGAAGAUUUAAGUAUGGUAGACUUAUAAAAUGCGUGAGGUGUUUAGACACUCCCUAUAAUGUUCUUUUCCUUCUCCCAUGCUUGGUUGAGUUGAUUGCAAAUCUCCUUUGGUGGCAACAGUGAGUUUAUGAUGAAGAGGAGAUGAACUUGAUGAAAGAUGAAUAUGGAAUCGGGUCAUACACAGUCAAGUCAUAGGGUUUCAUACCUGUUAAAGUUUGGCCUUGGGUUAUGAGUUUUGUAGUACCGUUAUCUCUUGUGAUUUUAGGCAUUGUAUUAUUAUUUUAUUUAAUGA
rnacentral:misc_RNA from 1 species